GAGACAAACCCCAGGAGAGCCUGAGGUCCUCCAGAGGGAUAUUAGUGAGUGGCUUGUCUGAGCAAAAGCCAUUUCUACUCACCCCACAGUCGUUAGCUCCAUCUCCACACAUGCCCACAUAAUAACUGCGGGAGACAGGAGAAGAAGGAUUAAUAGGCUCUGCAGCCCCAAACUGUUACAUUCCCUCCAGUCUCUUGGUUCUCCACCAGCUGCCAGGUCACAGAGGCAGGAACAAAUUCUUCUGGUUCAUCGGCCUCAACAAUGAUCACUUGGCUGCCUGGAGGGAUCAUUUCAGAAUUCUUUGCAACAGUAAUGGCCGUUUGAAGGUUAUCACCUAGAAGACAAAGAAACUUUGCUUGCUGUAUGUACAAACCUCCCCUCAGCAACAAGAACUGAGGUCUCCCUUUUCCACUCUGCUUGGUGUUCUUUGAGAGCAUUUACCGCUUUCUGCCUUAUUUUAUCUUCCUCUCUGCUGUAGACUGCCCCUACUGGGCAAACACUAUG
rnacentral:lncRNA from 1 species